AGUGAACGCUGGCGGUAGGCCUAACACAUGCAAGUCGAACGGCAGCACAGUAAGAGCUUGCUCUUACGGGUGGCGAGUGGCGGACGGGUGAGGAAUACAUCGGAAUCUACUUUUUCGUGGGGGAUAACGUAGGGAAACUUACGAUAAUACCGCAUACGACCUACGGGUGAAAGCAGGGGAUCUUCGGACCUUGCGCGAUUGAAUGAGCCGAUGUCGGAUUAGCUAGUUGGCGGGGUAAAGGCCUACCAAGGCGACGAUCCGUAGCUGGUCUGAGAGGAUGAUCGGCCACACUGGAACUGAGACACGGUCCAGACUCCUACGGGAGGCAGCGGUGGGGAAUAUUGGACAAUGGGCGCAAGCCUGAUCCAGCCAUACCGCGUGGGUGAAGAAGGCCUUCGGUUUGUAAAGCCCUUUUGUUGGGAAAGAAAAGCAGCAGGUUAAUACCCCGCUGUUCUGACGGUACCCAAUGAAUAAGCACCGGCUAACUUCGUG
rnacentral:rRNA from 1 species